rnacentral:lncRNA from 1 species
UCCGUGAACUCCUGUCAUGUAAAGAGAAAAAGUAAGCUAAUAUAAAAGUCAAACCUAUAUCCUUUUUUUCUUUUUUUUCUAUUUUUAUGUUGGCAACAAGUCAUGGAUUUACUACCCUUAAAAGAAAACGUACAAUCAUUCGUGGUAGUGAAUAAUGUUAUAUUAACAUCUAUUGCGAAUUUGUGACGUCCAAAAAAACGUUACCAAGUUAAAACUAACGUUUAAUAAGAGUCGUUAAAUCUCUGGUUCUUACAUG